rnacentral:rRNA from 1 species
CGCUGGCGGCGUGCCUAAUACAUGCAAGUCGAGCGAACGGACGAGAAGCUUGCUUCUCUGAUGUUAGCGGCGGACGGGUGAGUAACACGUGGAUAACCUACCUAUAAGACUGGGAUAACUUCGGGAAACCGGAGCUAAUACCAGAUAAUAUUUUGAACCGCACGGUUCAAAAGUGAAAGACGGUCUUGCUGUCACUUAUAGAUGGAUCCGCGCUGCAUUAGCUAGUUGGUAAGGUAACGGCUUACCAAGGCAACGAUGCAUAGCCGACCUGAGAGGGUGAUCGGCCACACUGGAACUGAGACACGGUCCAGACUCCUACGGGAGGCAGCAGUAGGGAAUCUUCCGCAAUGGGCGAAAGCCUGACGGAGCAACGCCGCGUGAGUGAUGAAAGUCUUCGGAUCGUAAAACUCUGUUAUUAGGGAAGAACAUAUGUGUAAGUAACUGUGCACAUCUUGACGGUACCUAAUCAGAAAGCCACGGCUAACUACGUGCCAGCAGCCGCGGUAAUACGUAGGUGGCAAGCGUUAUCCGGAAUUAUUGGGCGUAAAGCGCGCGUAGGCGGUUUUUUAAGUCUGAUGUGAAAGCCCACGGCCCAACCGUGGAGGGUCAUUGGAAACUGGAAAACUUGAGUGCAGAAGAGGAAAGUGGAAUUCCAUGUGUAGCGGUGAAAUGCGCAGAGAUAUGGAGGAACACCAGUGGCGAAGGCGACUUUCUGGUCUGUAACUGACGCUGAUGUGCGAAAGCGUGGGGAUCAAACAGGAUUAGAUACCCUGGUAGUCC